UUUGCCAUGGACACGGAGUGAUUAGAGAGCAGAGGAAACCCAAAGAGAGAAGUGUUGACCUUGAAUCAACCCACCAUCCAAACUGAUGGAACUGCCAAUUAGGAUCACUUGAAUGAAGCUUAUGAUCAUUGUGGUGAAGUCUUUGCUGAGUAUGCCAAACUAUUUAAUUGGGUACUUUCUUUUCUUAUUUUUUAUGUUUGAGUCAUUUUUUUUUUCUUUCUUUUUUAUUCUAAUCGUCUAUACAUAAACAGUGGAUAAGGCUUUGAUUAUUAAUAUGUUUAUUAAAUUUUUACGAUUGGUAUAAUCAUAUCUCUGUCCAUUUUUGUUUAUAUAGAUGAACGCAUAUAAAUUAAUCUCUAUGUGUUUUCAUAGAUUUCUAUUAACAUUAUUUUGUUAUUUAAAGCUGGCUGGUUGUUCAUCAAAAGCAACUUGUUUUGAUUUAGAAAAACAAGCAAUAACGUGAUAAUUUAAUGUGAGAAUCUGAAGGAAAUUACUAUAUGUUUCUGUGUAAUAUGGUUAAUUAUAUAGUUUUUUGGCUCAAAGGUUAAUAUCUUUAUAUAUAUAAAUAUUUAGGAGCCAUAUCACCAUAUCAGUCGUCUCACCUUAUGAUCGCUACAACUUCUAUCGUGAGUCGCAUCUUGUCUCUCUCAUAUUUUAGGUUUAUCCUUUUUCUUGUAUCCUUUUAGAUUUGUUUUGGGUGAUUUUAUUUUGUUUUCUCUCUUCUUUGAUAUUUUUGUUGAUCAUUACUUUGAUUUGUUAAAUAGUUAUUGUGCACAUUAGAUGAGACACCAAUCCUCAACAAUAUUUUUUCACAUUAGUUUCAUUAUGCAAAGUCAAAAUUAUACUUUAUGUGGAGAUCUAAGUCUAGCAGAACAUUUCCAAUUACUGCUACUAUAUGGUUUCACUUGUUAGUGUUUUCUUGAAUUAGCUUUUUUGAUACACACGCAAAUUCUUUAGUUAAGGUAAAAGUUUAUUUAUAAAUGUGGUAUCUUUAAAACUCUUUUCAAUGCAUCCAUUUCCUCUUUUAUUCAUUAUUUCUGUUGUAAAAAGGUUUAUUGUUGCUUACAAGUAUAAGUGCUUAGAUUGGUAUUACUAUAUAUUUAAUAUAUUAUUUUCUUUUUUAAUUCAUGCAUGUGUGUUGUUGUUAUAUGUCCAAUUGUAUAAUAGUAUUGGCUAUCAUUUGGGUCAUUUUUUUUUUCUUCUGAGUUCAGGCAUAGUUGCUCAAAGUUUGAAAAACUGUUUGAAAUCUUUAGGUUUUGCUUAGACUAACCACUAUCAUCAAUAAUUAGUUAUAGUAAAGAGUGUACCGAUCAAAGAAAAGCAUUAAUCAUAAUAUUGAAACAUACAUAACAUAUAAAAAUAUACUGGUCCACCGAUCAAACAAAAAUGAAAUGAGAUUGAUAUGCUAUGUUAUUUCUAUAAUUAGUUAUUUACUGCAACAAAUCUCUCUGAGAUUGAUAUAUUCUACUUUAAAGCUUUGAAGAAUAUAUGUAAAGAUGAUUGAGCAAGUGAUUCGCAGAGAAAAAGAUUAAGGUCUAAAAAGGAUAAACCUUUAGAAGGUAAGCUAAGCAUUUUUUUUCUUUCAAUUUUCUCUUCCAAAACCCCUCUUUCAUGAGUAGGUUGUUCUAUACAGAGACAAUAUUAUAUUUUUUAUUUUUUGGUCAUUAUAUUUUGGUUCAUUAAAUGAUAUCCACCUCACGUCAUGGUGCUCACUAGCUUUAGAUUUGUGGCAGUUAGUGAUUCUAUAAAAUUAUAACAUAUUUUGUAGUACUAGUUUGAUUUGUGAGAUUUUAGCUGAUUGGGCUUUUUAUAUGUUCAAAUGAUUUCCCUAAAAACCUCUAUUUUAUAAGUUCUAGUCAUUAGUUUUCCUUCUUAAUUUCUUAUUUCUUUUUUCAUUUACUUAUUUGUUUAUGGUCGGAUCUAUUAUUGGGCAUUAUUGUUAGUGUUUAUUUACUCUCGUUCUUCUAUGCUUUGUAUGGAACAAUUCAUUUCCAAUUUAUUUUAUGUUCAAGCAAAAUCAAAUUUUAUUCUUUCUCAUGUCAUUAAAAGUUUUACAUCACUGUCUUUUUCUUUAUAAUUUCAUUUUAGCCAAAUAAGAAGAUUUAACUCCAUCUCUAUUUUGUUUCUCUCUACGUUCUUUAUUUCAAAUGGUAUAAUGAACCUCUCUCAUGGAUUUAUUUUUCUUGACUAACUUCUCCUAGGUCUUAUUUCGUAAUGAUUUUUGAGAAGUUACAUUUUUUUGGUCUGAUUUUAGUUCUUGUUCUAUUUUGCUUUAUCUUAGCCGCUACUAAAAAAAUGAUUCUUUCUAUAUAUUAUGGUGUUGUUAUGAGGUUUUGGUUAUUUAUCUAUUUUUUAAGGAAUUUGUUAAUAAAGGAAUUUGUAGGAAAAAUCACAAGGAGACCAUUAGUUAAGCAACGCUGUUGGGAGUUCCUUCAUAUGCCAAAGAAAAUAUUCACUGAGUUUGGUAUGUUCUUUCCAUCUUCUUUUAUUUUGUUUGGCUGUUUUGUGACAUAUUACUCUUUGUUUGUUGCUACUUGUUCGUAGGUGGCAUUUUAUGAGAGUGAGGUGUUUGAUUUUAUGUUGGCAUUUUAGGCAUAAAAACGUGGGGCAUUAAUUAAGUAUUUAAGAUUUUGUUUUUUCACAUUUUCCAAGCAAGAAUACACAUGCAGUUGUUUAGAGUUGAUUUUUUUUGUUUGUUUUUUUUGUUUAAGAGACUUUACAAAUCUAAGCUUGAUAUUUUUGUUCAAUGGUAAAUGCAGAUAUUAAAUUUGGGUUUGUUGGCAGAAAUUUGAGUUCUGUGUAUUAUGCUUGGAGUUUGUACUAAUUUCAAUAACAAGAAUAAUAGUUGGUUGGUUAUUUAGUUUACUUGAUUUUCGUAUGCAUACACAUAUUUUAAAUAUAUAUUUAUAUAUAAAUAGUUUUCUAGGAGUUAAGUCAAGCUUUAUCAUCAUAACUUAUUUUUUAGGAGUUUCUCUUCCAUUUAAAUAUAUAUAUAAUACUCUUUAGACCAAAGCAAUGUAUACACAAUACUCAAUAUAUAUCUCAAUUUCUAAAAAAUCAAGAGUCAAGACUCAAUAUUAUAGAUAUGAAGUUCUGUAUAUAUAGGAACCGAAUGUGUCUUGGUUGUUUUAUUAAGAAUGUGUUAUGUUUUUUCAGAUUGAUAUUUUUUUUUAUAAUCUCCUUGUGUAAAUUUCAUCACAUUUACAUUUUGACUUAAUUAUUAGCAUAUUUAUUUUGUUGAUCUUUCUUGUUUAGAAUGUACUAAAUAGUUUGUGGAAAUGCCCAUGACUUCACAAAUAAAGUAAACAAAAGCACUUUAUAAUAUUGCAUAUUAGCCAUUAUGAAAGCACUCUAGUCCUUAAAUUUGUAGAGGCAAGUGUGGAGUCUUGUAAUGGCUCUUAGUCACAUAUAUAUCUUAUUGCUGCAAAAAAUAUUAAUAUAUAUAUAUAUUAUUAAUUAAUGUCAUAAAGUUAUUUAACUGGUUAAGAUAUUUAUUUGAUAUUAUGUACAUAGAGUAGUGCAUUUGCAGAGACUACUCUGAGUGCAUUGAAUAUAAGAGAAAUUGUUGGAAAGCAUAAUAUACUAGAGCCAAAGUAGUCUUAGGAACAUAAAAUGUUGGUAAUUUUCAAGUAGUCUUGUGGCAUCAACAGGGACACUUUUGUGUUUUUUUUUAUAGCAAAAGUUUAGAAUCUGGGUUUUUUCUUGGGAAAGAAACUAAGAAAGAUAAUAAGUACAAGAAUGGAUUUUGUAUGAAAAGAAGGGUGUACUUCUUGGUGUUCUUGCUAGAGAGUUAUAUAUAUAUAUAUAUAUUCUAAUAUAUUAGUUAAUGUUUUCUUUUAGUUUGUAGCCAUGGUAUUUGAUCAUUUGUUACUUUGCAUUUGCACACCUUUUGGUUUCUUUUUAUAAGUGUAGAACUGAAAUCCUUGAAGGGUAUUAGAUGUAAUCUAUCUUGUUGCACUGAACUUCAAGAAUAAUUUUCUUGUCUUUGGUUUGCUCUUAAUCUAAUUUCAUGGCUUUUGAGGUCUCUGUUAUAUUAUGUUGUGAGACUUACAUGCUCUUAGACUCAAUAUGAGACAAUGAAAUAAGUUAGUUACUGCCUUUUAUGACUAUUUUAAACAAUGAAAUAAAUUAGUUACUACAUUUAUGACUCUAUUUAAGAUAAUGAAAUAAUUUUGUUGCUUAAGUUCAUAGCUUUGUUGGGGAUCCAAUGGUCAAAUGUUUUCUCCUUUUGUUUCAGAAAAAUUUGGAACUGCUUGGUUAACAAUCUAAGGCCUACAUUUUGCAAUACUUAAAAGAUUCAAAGUAUUAUUGCUGAGACAAGCUAAUGGUCUUAUGCUCUCUAUUGGUUUCUUUUUUAUUUAGAAAUGCUUUUGUUUCUGCCGACAUAGAACACAUUCUGAAUGAUGAUUCUUCAUUUUUAUUCAAUACUAUCAGUUUCGACUAUUCUUUUCCUUAGUCCCUAUAAUAAUAUGAUAACCAUAUAUACCGAAAAAUUAAUAAAUAACAUAUUUUUUUUGCUUAUUGUAUCAUUUAAUUUUAACUUUGUAUUAAUCUUUUAAUCUACUUCAUCUCAAGGAAUUUUUAAGAAUGAGUAUAUAUCCCAUUUCUAUACAGAUUUCUCUUCUGUUAAGAGAACAAAAUCGCAUUCAUGAAGCACAGUGGAACUCAAAACAGUUAUGACAAUGUCUGUAAAAUUAUUCUUCACUUUGUCAGCACUCAAUAGGGGAAUUCAUAUGCAAUAUAUGGUGUCUUUAUCCUAAUUUUUCUUUUAAAACUACAAAAACAAAGAAUCAUUUGAAACAGUUGGGGAUUUUGGUACCGAUGGGUCUCUGAAGCCUGCUUUGUUUGGUUUGUCUUGGACCUCUUGCGCUUUUCUAUUUCUCUUUUUAGAAGAAUCACUAUUUUCAUUUCCAUCCUAUAAAAAGGUUUAAUUUUUAUUCCAACAAUGAUUCAUGAUAGAAAGAAAACAGCAAAAACAUCACUUGCAUAUAUUUGGAUAAAGUUUAGUUCAUUCAUUCUUUAUUCUCUUUGAUGAUAUGUGGACACAAACAUUUUACACAUGAACUCCUCCAAAGCAAGUAAACUACCACAAGAUUAUUGAAGCCGCAACUAACUAUAUAUAUAUAUUUAGGGUUUAAUUUAUAUCUAUUACUUAGCCACAUGAACUCCUCCAAAGCAAGCAACUUAUUGUGUGUUGCUUGAAUUUUUUUACUUGGUAUUGAUAAAUGGUUAGGUAACCUUUAGAUGAGAAAUGAUGUCAGAUUUUAUCUAGAAUUAUGUAUUAUCUUCUUUCAAAUAAAUUGUGUUUGCUUGAAUUGGUUUGAUUAUAUUGAUAGAUAUCUCGCCUGGGGUGUGAAUAAGGGUAGUUUUCACGUCCCCAACCUUAGGGUUUAAAUAAUAAAACAUUAUACAUAUGAGUUGUGAUUAGCUUUUUUAUAUCAAUUGCGGAAGGUCGUUGGGAUUCUAGUGAUCCAGACUCAGAGGUGCACAAAAUUCCUCUUGGACCAGAUUUUAUGCGUGUAUGGGUUCAUGUUGCUGUUGUGCCUGGUGCUUAUUUAUUUUGUCCUAACUAUGUGAUGCUUACUAUAUGAGAAGUUUUUGGUUCAAUAGUUGCAUGGCCUUCUCAAAAGGUUAUUCCAAGAGAUUCAACAAGUGAUGUGCAAAAGAAAAUCUGAUUUGGGAGGCUGUGGUGUGCUGACAUUUGGAAGAUCAUGAAUUCCUACCUUUACUUUUGAAUAUGCAAUUGUUUAAGACUAUUUCGUUGACUAUUGUGAGAAUAUUUUGUUUAUGUUAAU